AAGUCGUAACAAGGUUGCCGUAGGUGAACCUGCGGCAGGAUCAUUACAAGGCACGAAGGCGAUAGCCUGAGUGCAUGUAUGCAGGCGAUAGCCUGACUACACCCAUCCCAGUGUGAACACUUUUGAUUAACUAUCAUACAGUACGACCACAUACAAUAAACAUAAUCUAUACAACUUUCAACAAUGGAUCUCUUGGUUCUC
rnacentral:misc_RNA from 1 species